CAGCAGCCGCGGUAAUACGUAGGUGACAAGCGUUGUCCGGAUUUACUGGGCGUAAAGGGCGCGCAGGCGGUCGAUCAAGUCGAGUGUGAAAGCCCCCGGCUCAACUGGGGAGGGUCAUUCGAUACUGAUCGACUCGGAGGCAGGAGAGGGUAGUGGAAUUCCCGGUGUAGUGGUGAAAUGCGUAGAUAUCGGGAGGAACACCAGUGGCGAAGGCGACUACCUGGCCUGUUCUUGACGCUGAGGCGCGAAAGCUAGGGGAGCAAACGGGAUUAGAUACCCCGGUAGUCCUAGCCGUACAACGAUGGACACUAGGUGUUGGUGGUAUCAACCCCGCCAGUGCCGAAGCUAACGCAUUAAGUGUCCCGCCUGGGGAGUACGGCCGCGAGGCUAAAACUCAAAUGAAUUGACGG
rnacentral:rRNA from 1 species